rnacentral:lncRNA from 1 species
UAUUGCCUUGGAUGAUGUCAGGAUUUGCUUCAGCAUUAGGUGCGAUAAGGGUAUACACUCAUUCUUGUACUAGAGCUCUGGUAUUGCCUUUCAUGAAUGGACAAUUACGGAUUAUGUGUUUUUGACUUCCACAUUUGAAACAUGAUCGAGUGACGCGAUAACAUGUCUGGUUGCCAUGAUCAUUCCCAUAUCAGGGACAUGUUGGUGCCAGACCUGCUACUACUGAGGGUUUGGAAGGUGCUGCUGUUGUCACCUUAGGCC